UGUUACAUUGCAGUCUAUCUUAAUUUCUUCUCCAGUUUUAUGUUUGUCCAAAUGCAUUACCACAGAUUGAUAAAGAUUACUUUUUAAGAGCGUUAGUCCAGGUGUAGUUAAAACAGACUUCCGAAGAGUAGCUGGAUAUACACCACAAAACGCAGAAGAAAAUUUCCCGGGCAUUACCUCCGAAGAAGUAGCAGACGCAAUAAUUUACGUGCUGAGUACGCCUCCGACAGUACAGAUAAGGGAAUUAAUACUAACCGCAGUUGGAGAAUCUUUCCAGUGAAACUGUGCAAAACUUAACUGCUUUACACUUCUAGUGUUAUUGUUGACACUAGACUGUUCAAAGUUGACGCAAGUUAAACGACUACAUAAAAUGAGAAAUAAAAAUAAAACUAACAACUACAAAUUGAUAUAAAAUAA